GACGAACGCUGGCGGCGUGCUUAACACAUGCAAGUCGAACGGAAAGGCCCUGCUUUUGUGGGGUGCUCGAGUGGCGAACGGGUGAGUAACACGUGAGUAACCUGCCCUUGACUUUGGGAUAACUUCAGGAAACUGGGGCUAAUACCGGAUAGGAGCUCCUGCUGCAUGGUGGGGGUUGGAAAGUUUCGGCGGUUGGGGAUGGACUCGCGGCUUAUCAGCUUGUUGGUGGGGUAGUGGCUUACCAAGGCUUUGACGGGUAGCCGGCCUGAGAGGGUGACCGGCCACAUUGUGACUAAGAGACGGCCCAGACUGCUACGGGAGGCAACAGUGGGGAAUAUGGCACAAUGGGCGGAAGCCUGAUGCAGCAACGCCGCGUGCGGGAUGACGGCCUUCGGGUUGUAAACCGCUUUCGCCUGUGACGAAGCGUGAGUGACGGUAAUGGGUAAAGAAGCACCGGCUAACUACGUG
rnacentral:rRNA from 1 species